UCCCUGGUGGUCCAGUGGCUAAGGCUCUGCCCUCCCAAUGCAGGAGGCCUAGGUUCGAUCCCUGGUCAGGGAA
rfam:TPA: Bos taurus chromosome 24, whole genome shotgun sequence.